GGAAUAUAUUCCUGAAAAAUGACGUGUUUUUCCUGAGCAUUAACCCCCCCUAUCAACUCUCCCCCGCACCGAGACGGAUUCCUUCUCUGGAAGACGAGGGUUUGGUGUGAGGGAGGGCCGAUGGAUGAUGGCUGGAAACACAUCUGGUGAGUGAAGCAUGGGAGCGGAAGGGAUCCCAUCAUGCAACACUGUAAGACUAGACCUUCCCUCCCAAGAGCUUUGGUGUUUCUGUAAAUCCACGGGAGAUGACGGUUUGAUGACUUUAUUUUUCCAACAUGAAAUGAAACCACUGCUAUAUAUUCUGAAUAUAUCGGGUGAAUACGAAAAAAACUAAAGGUGUCACUGUACAGGACGAGCUUGACCCUGUGCAGACGUGCAGCAGCAACAUCCUCGUUACAGGGGGAGAUUUCACGAAAUAAUGAAUAAAGAAGAAGGCUUCUGCAAACCUUUUGGACCAGAAGCCUAAUCAAAAUCUGCAUUCGUCACAUGCUCCUUCAUCAUGAGACGACUGAAGUUGAUGUCAACAUCAUUAACAACAAAGCGGAAUUUCAAACGAAAAAGGAAAUAUUUGAUGACUGAGAUGAGAAGCCGCGUGCUUGAAUCUCUCCCGCUCUUCUCCCCCCGGUGGCUGCGGACACAGAACGAGUCCUGAUGAAAGGGCCGCUUUCAGAUUUAAAAAACGUGUUAGUUCAGAUACCUUCAGACACCUUGGCCGACGGAUUAAGAUUUCUGUAUAAUGUUUUGCAUGGAACUUUCUGUUCAUAUAUUGAUUUUGUGAUGUCAUUUGCAU
ensembl:lncRNA